GCUACUUGCGAUAUUUAAGUCACUCACCAUUAAUUUAUCGUAGGCCAUGCUGAGCUCACUGGAAAAGAAGUUAGAUGAAAGUGAAAGAAAGUGUGAAGAAACACAGAGGCUUAGUGAAGAAAGGCUUUGUAUGGGGUACUAUUAAUUAUUUGUAUGGGGCCCCAAUGAAAAGGAUCCUGUUGUUAUUUGAUAGAUGUUUUACUUUCCUUCAGGGACAAGGCUUCAUGGUUGGGGUUCAGAUAAAUCCAAUCUCAGGCAUACCUUCUGGAUAUUUGAUCAUGUUGAAGAUAAGAGGGUGGAAUACUUGCUUGAGAGAUUGCUGGAGGCUCAUGCAGAACUUCGACCUUUGCUUCUUAAAUCUCAGGAUCACUUAAAGGAUCUAUUAUUU